rnacentral:rRNA from 1 species
UACGAAGGGGGCUAGCGUUACUCGGAUUGACUGGGCGUAAAGGGCGCGUAGGCGGAUAGUACAGUCAGACGUGAAAUUCCUGGGCUCAACCUGGGGGCUGCGUUUGAUACGUGCUGUCUGGAGUUCGGAAGAGGGUCGUGGAAUUCCCAGUGUAGAGGUGAAAUUCGUAGAUAUCGGGAGGAACACCAAUGGCGAAGGCAGCUCGCUGGGACGGUACUGACGCUGAGACGCGAAAGCGUGGGGAGCAAACAGG